UACGGAGGGGGCUAGCGUUGUUCGGAAUUACUGGGCGUAAAGCGCGCGUAGGCGGACCUGCAAGUCGGGGGUGAAAGCCCGAGGCUCAACCUCGGAACUGCCUUCGAUACUGCGGGUCUCGAGUCCGGGAGAGGGAUGCGGAAUUCCAGGUGUAGCGGUGAAAUGCGUAGAUAUCUGGAGGAACACCGGUGGCGAAGGCGGCAUCCUGGACCGGCAUUGACGCUGAGGAGCGAAAGCCAGGGGAGCAAACGGG
rnacentral:rRNA from 1 species